GUAGGUGGCAAGCGUUGUCCGGAAUUAUUGGGCGUAAAGCGCGCGCAGGCGGUUCUUUAAGUCUGAUGUGAAACGCCCACGGCUCAACCGUGGAGGGUCAUUGGAAACUGGAGAACUUGAGUACAGAAGAGGAAAGCGGAAUUCCACGUGUAGCGGUGAAAUGCGUAGAGAUGUGGAGGAACACCAGUGGCGAAGGCGGCUUUCUGGUCUGUAACUGACGCUGAGGCGCGAAAGCGUGGGGAGCAAACAGGGAUUAGAUACCCUGGUAGUCCACGCCGUAAACGAUGAGUGCUAAGUGUUAGGGGGGUUUCCGCCCCCUUAGUGCUGCAGCUAACGCAUUAAGCACUCCGCCUGGGGAGUACGGCCGCAAGGCUG
rnacentral:rRNA from 1 species